rnacentral:lncRNA from 1 species
CCGAGAUACAUUGGGCUAGAGAAGACGGAGGAGAACAUGGGGUGGUUUCGUUUGGCUUUACGGUGCUCUCUUCUAGUAAUCUUGGCCCUGUGUUUGGUGGUAGAGGGGCGUUUAGGUUUGGUUCUUGGCCAACUCUUCUUCUCACUUCCAUCCUCUCUUAGUUUAGUAGUAUAAUAAUUCUUCUAUAAUGUUGUUUAGCAGGUUGCAACGCUGGGGUUGGUUGUUUGAAUCCAAAGAUAACUUCAGCAGGCAAUGGAAGGAACAAGGUUUGGAACAUUAAUUGUCUUGGCUAACAUAUAUCGUGUUCAUGUCACUUGUGUUGAAACCUUACAAUUUGUUGUUCGUUUUACUCUUAGGUAUCGAAGGAGGCUUACAAGGGUUUUAGGGCGCCGUUGGGUCCGAGGGUUGGGUGGGAUUUGGUCAUGGGGUCGGACUUGAGGGUGGUGCCUUCCGGUCCGGACCCAUUGCACCACAAUGGCAGCCCCAAGAAGCCUCAGACUCCUUGAAAACUCGUAGGAGAAUUUUGGCCCUGAGAAAAGGUUUUCUUAAAGAAAAACUCUUCUGACGUCAAAUGCAAGAGAGGAGGAGACCUUUGCG